rnacentral:rRNA from 1 species
AUUAUUAAAGGGCCGCGGUAUUCCUGACCGUGCGAAGGUAGCAUAAUCAUUAGUCUUUUAAUUGAAGGCUUGUAUGAAAGGUUGGACGAAAAAUGGACUGUUUCAAAUAAAAAGAUUGAAUUUAACUUUUAAGUGAAAAGGCUUAAAUAAAUUAAAAAGACGAUAAGACCCUAUAAAUCUUUACAUUUGUUAUUAUAGGUUUUGGAUUGUGUGUGUAAAAAAAAAUAUAAUAAAAAUGUUGUGUUGGGGCAACAGUGAUAUAGUAAUAUUAAUUGUUAAAAAUAAAAACAAAUAUAUUUGUUAAAUAAAGAUCCUUUUUAAAGAUUUAAAGAUUAAGUUACUUUAGGGAUAACAGCGUUAUUUUUUCUGAGAGUUCUUAUCGAAGAAAAAGAUUGCGACCUCGAUGUUGAAUUAAAAAUUCUUUUUAAUGUAGCAGUUAAAAAAGAAAGUCUGUUCGACUUUUAAAUUUUUACAUGAUUUGAGUUCAGACCGGCGUGAGCAG